GACGAACGCUGGCGGCGUGCCUAAUACAUGCAAGUAGAACGCUGAAGAGAGGAGCUUGCUCUUCUUGGAUGAGUUGCGAACGGGUGAGUAACGCGUAGGUAACCUGCCUUGUAGCGGGGGAUAACUAUUGGAAACGAUAGCUAAUACCGCAUAACAAUGGAUGACCCAUGUCAUUUAUUUGAAAGGGGCAAAUGCUCCACUACAAGAUGGACCUGCGUUGUAUUAGCUAGUAGGUGAGGUAACGGCUCACCUAGGCGACGAUACAUAGCCGACCUGAGAGGGUGAUCGGCCACACUGGGACUGAGACACGGCCCAGACUCCUACGGGAGGCAGCAGUAGGGAAUCUUCGGCAAUGGGGGCAACCCUGACCGAGCAACGCCGCGUGAGUGAAGAAGGUUUUCGGAUCGUAAAGCUCUGUUGUAAGUCAAGAACGAGUGUGAGAGUGGAAAGCUCACACUGUGACGGUAGCUUACCAGAAAGGGACGGCUAACUACGUGCCAGCAGCCGCGGUAAUACGUAGGUCCCGAGCGUUGUCCGGAUUUAUUGGGCGUAAAGCGAGCGCAGGCGGUUUGAUAAGUCUGAAGUUAAAGGCUGUGGCUCAACCAUAGUUCGCUUUGGAAACUGUCAAACUUGAGUGCAGAAGGGGAGAGUGGAAUUCCAUGUGUAGCGGUGAAAUGCGUAGAUAUAUGGAGGAACACCGGUGGCGAAAGCGGCUCUCUGGUCUGUAACUGACGCUGAGGCUCGAAAGCGUGGGGAGCAAACAGG
rnacentral:rRNA from 1 species